UACGUAGGGGGCAAGCGUUAUCCGGAUUUACUGGGUGUAAAGGGGGCGCAGACGGCGAUGCAAGCCAGGAGUGAAAGCCCGGGGCCCAACCCCGGGACUGCUCUUGGAACUGCGUGGCUAGAGUGCAGGAGGGGCAGGCGGAAUUCCUGGUGUAGCGGUGAAAUGCGUAGAUAUCAGGAGGAACACCGGUGGCGAAGGCGGCCUGCUGGACUGCAACUGACGUUGAGGCCCGAAAGCGUGGGGAGCAAACAGG
rnacentral:rRNA from 1 species